GGGCCUGUAGUCGACCGGUAAGACGUUCGCCUUACACGCGAAAGAUACCCAGUUCGAUCCUGGGCGGGCCCA
rnacentral:tRNA from 1 species